rnacentral:rRNA from 1 species
UACGUAGGGCGCAAGCGUUGUCCGGAUUUAUUGGGCGUAAAGAGCUCGUAGGCGGUCUGUCGCGUCGGCUGUGAAAACCCGAGGCUCAACCUCGGGCCUGCAGUCGAUACGGGCAGACUAGAGUGCGGUAGGGGAGACUGGAAUUCCUGGUGUAGCGGUGAAAUGCGUAGAUAUCGUGAGGAACACCAGAGGCGAAGGCGGUCUCCUGGACAGUUACUGACGCUCAGGCACGAAAGCGUGGGGAGCAAAAGGG